rnacentral:lncRNA from 1 species
AUCAGACUCCAAGGAGAGGCCAACAGAUGAGGGAGCCAUUUUUCUGCAAUGGAAUUAAAUGGCCAAGUGGGUUUUUCCUUUGUUGCAAAUGGGGAAUGCUUUUCCUUUGACUCCACCAUCCAGUUCAGGACGCCUGAAUGUGUUUAACAUUUGCCAAAGGACUCACACUUGGAAGAAUGAAGACCUUUUAAAAAGAUCUGGAUUUUUCCUUAUGACUUGGAAUCCAUCUUUGUCUUGUAUAACUAGGUCAUAGCACACUAUUAAUGUCAGCAGUUAACAGUUUUGAAUUCAAAAAAACCUAAAGCACUAAACAGCCCUCAGCGAAGCCGCCUUUUUGCCAGCCCAACCCUGGAAAGUUUGCAGUCGUGGAAGGAGCAGAAAUACCACGAGUGUAACUUACAAAGAAGGUCUUGGCCGGAGACCGGAGCCAUGUCUGUGUUAUCCCCACUGUAGACAAUCCUUGCUUCCUCUGGACAUCUGGAGCAGGCCCAAUUUGACUGAGAGCCUUCCCCCACUAAGUUACAGAUCCAGCCCCACCAUCACCACCAGAGUUGAGUCCAAAUCCAACACUCUAGGCCGGGUAGUGCUGGGACUUUGCCAGCCUCCUGCUGAGUGAAUUCUCCCCUUGGCAAACUGCAGCCAGCCAGCCUCCUGGGUCGAGAGCCAAGCCAAAAGAUGUCUGAGAGAAGAAACCUGGGGUCCUGCAAAGCCCUCCUCCUCCCCCCCCCCCCCCUUCAGCCAGCACUUAGGCCCUCCCUGAUUUAGCCCGUUACCUUGACAACCACUUGGGCCUGUCUCCCUCAUCACCACUGAAAACCUGAAGGUGGUUUUCCAGCUGCGGUACAUUUGCCCAAGUUGGGCACCCCUCCAGCUUCUAUUGGCUCGCCCUCUAUACAGCUGUACCCAAUAUAACAAACACAACCUUCCUGGCCCCUCAGCUGUAGUCUCGAAAUUGAUCUCACUGGUCCCGGGAACUCCGUCAAUACUGCCUCCUCUAGACUGAGCUCCUCACAGGCAGGAACAUGGUUGUUUCUCAAUAAACAAGUUGCAAAAAAA